rnacentral:lncRNA from 1 species
UAAUCAACAACCACAUGGAAUGGAAGCGUACCCUCUUCCUUGCCCCAGAGCAGCAGAACGCGGACUCCUUGUUUUUUAUCAUUCUGAUGUUCUAUUGCUCUUCGUCGACGCCGUCACAGCAGCCGACGCUACUGUUGUUCAUGCGGCCGUCUCCCGUCAGCUGCAGAUCUAGGCCACCGCCCCCAGCAGGUACUCUUCAAUCCUCAUCAUCUUGCUCCUCCUCACCGUCGCCACCGACACUGAGCGAUAGAAAAGGGGGUGCCAUCGAGGGAGGAGGAGGUCCGAGAAUGAGGAUGCAGAUGCGGAAGUUGGGGAUAUUUUGGAUCUCAAAACAUGAAUAGAGGAUGGGGAAACAGGCAAUGGAGGGGAAACGAGCACUCACCCUGGGAUGUGCAUGCGACGUGCGAUGGAGGGCUCGAUCCCUCGAGCGCCGACGACGGUAUGGCGAGAGGCUGUAGCGGACAGUCGCGAGGGAGGUGG